ensembl:snRNA U6 U6 spliceosomal RNA
GUACUCCCUUCAGCAGCACAUAAACUAAAGUUGGAACCAUACAAAGAAGAUUAGCAUUGCCCUGUGCCAGGAUGACAUACAAAUUUGUUAAGUGUUCUAUAUUUAA